GAGCAGAGGGUGCAAACGUUGCUCGGAAUCACUGGGCGUAAAGGGCGUGUAGGCGGGAAGGAAAGUCAGAUGUGAAAUCCCCAGGCUCAACCUGGAACUGCAUUUGAAACUCCCUUUCUUGAGUACCGGAGAGGAAAGUGGAAUUCCUGGUGUAGAGGUGAAAUUCGUAGAUAUCAGGAGGAACACCAGUGGCGAAGGCGGCUUUCUGGACGGUAACUGACGCUGAGAACGCGAAAGCCGUGGGGAGCAAACAGG
rnacentral:rRNA from 1 species